GACGAACGCUGGCGGCGUGCUUAACACAUGCAAGUCGAACGGAAAGGCCCUGCUUUUGUGGGCUGCUCGAGUGGCGAACGGGUGAGUAACACGUGAGUAACCUGCCCUUGACUGUGGGAUAACUUCAGGACAGUGGGGCUAAUACCGGCUAGGAGCUCCUGCUGCAUGGUGGGGGUGGGAAAGUUUCGGCGGUUGGGGGUGGACUGGCGGCUUAUCGGCUUGUUGGGUGGGUAGUGGCAUAGGAAGGCUUAGAAGGGUGGCCGGCCUGGGAGGCGGACCGGCCCCCAUGGGCCUGGGGUACGGCACAGACGCGAACGGGAGGCAACGGGGGGGAAUAUUGCACAGUGAGCGGAAGCGUGGCGAAACAACGCCGCGUGCGGGAUGACGGGAUGCGGGUUGUGAACUGCUUUCGCCUGUGACGAAGCGUGAAUGACGGUAACGGGUGAAGAAGCACCGGCUAACUACGUG
rnacentral:rRNA from 1 species